AGAAAGCCUGUCCUUUUAAGAGUGACUGGUGACUGUCAUUUCUGAUUUAUUCACCUGUAAGAAAGCCUGUCCUUUUAAGAGUGACUGACGUCACAACUAACGUGAGCUUGCAGCGUUAAUUAUCCUAACACCCAAGUUUAGCUCGCCAACUGUGGCUGUGCAGGGAAUCUCCGGUUUUCUAACAUUAUUAUUCUAACUAUUUUAUCCUUCACUGGCAAUCACUUCUUUGGCAUUUGAUUCUACUGUGCAGAGUUGUUGGGACCUGGUUUGGUUCUCAGACCUAGACAACCAGGUGACGGAGUUCCUUACUAAUAAGUGACCUUAAUUCAUCAAUCACGUACAAGGGAGGAGAGAACCCGCAGACACUCGUCCCUCUGUGGAAUGAGUUUGACACGUGAUGUAAAGGAAAUAAAUACUACAAAACAUGAAAUAACCAGGUUACAUUUAAGGCUAUAGAACUAUGAUAGUGCUUUGCAUUUUAGCCUCAUGGAGAGCCACCUUUGGCAGUUAUCUUUAGUGGUCUUAAAUGGGCAGCACCAUACAUUUUAUAGGUAUUUCCUCUCCCUUUUCACUAUUGGGCCUAUCCACAAUCAUGUGCCUGAUGAGCAGGCAAUGACCUACAGAUACCGUGUCAUGUUUUUCCAUCAGAGAGAUCACAUGAACAAGCUUUUUCCUCG
rnacentral:lncRNA from 1 species